UGGGCCCUACGGGGGGCAGCAGAAGGGAAGAUUGUUAAAUGGGGGAAACCCUGAAGCAGCAACGCCGCGUGGAGGAUGAAGGUUUUAGGAUUGUAAACUCCUUUUGUUAGAGAAGAUUAUGACGGUAUCUAACGAAUAAGCACCGGCUAACUCCGUGCCAGCAGCCGCGGUAAUACGGAGGGUGCAAGCGUUACUCGGAAUCACUGGGCGUAAAGAGUGCGUAGGCGGGGUAAUAAGUCAGAUGUGAAAUCCUGUAGCUUAACUACAGAACUGCAUUUGAAACUGUUACUCUGGAGUGUGGGAGG
rnacentral:rRNA from 1 species